rnacentral:tRNA from 1 species
GAGAGCGUAGUUUAACUGGAUAAAACAUCAGUCUACGAAACUGAAAAGGUGAAGGUUCGAUUCCUUCCGCUCUCG